GGUGCUAUAGCACAGUUGGUAGUGCGUCUGGCUACGAACCAGGAGGUCGCAGGUUCGAGCCCUGCUAGCAUCG
rfam:Capsaspora owczarzaki ATCC 30864 unplaced genomic scaffold supercont2.7, whole genome shotgun sequence.